CUCGCUCAUUUCAUGCAGCAGUUUACGCUCAUCUAGCACAAUAGUCCCCAAACUGUGAUUCACGGCAUGCUAGAUUUACACAAAAAUGAAGCCUUUCAAGAUACAGCUGGUUCCAGAAAUACUUCCUAUUAUGUGGACCUCCUGGAGAUGCACAAUGUACCACAGACUCUGAGCAGCCCUGCGGAGGGCCCAGAAGACCAAAAUGCAUUGGCGAGGAGAGCACCAGCAUCUUGAAAAGCAAUUUCGUGACUGAUUUCCAUAAACCAAUGAUGCAAUUGGAUGCAGCUGAAAUGGGAUCCUUGAUUUUAAUGGAAAAGGAAAGAUACCAGAAUGGAAGAAGCUGAUUUCAGGCACUCAACUGCCAAAGGCAAGAUAAUCAUGGGAGUUAUGAUAGACUACAGAGUUAGAGUGCUGAUCAAAGUGGUCUGACCUGAUUUGGUGGGGACUAAUUGAUUAUGGAGUCUGGGGUAGAGGCAAAAGUUGUCCGCCAACAUUGACUCUCUUUGUUCCCUCUGAUAAAGACUACAUCCCCAGCCUCCUUUCAGCUAUAUGUGGUUAUAUGAAUGACUUUGGGCCAGUGAUACGUGAGAAGAAGGGAGGUAGACCAUUUCCACGGCAUGUCUUUAAAGGGAGGACGCAUGUUCACUCCCUUCUUCCUGCUGCACGGAAUAUGGACAUGGGAGACAGUCAGCAUCAGGGAGGGCCACACUGAGGCAUGGUAGAGCAACAAGAUAGAAUAAGUCUGGGUCCCCGGACAACCACUUAAAGCAGAGCUGCCAUACCAGCCCUAGACUGCCUACCUUCGAACAAUGACAUGAGAGACAGGUCACUUCUAUCUAAGUCAUUGUUAUUCGGGGUCUCUCUUAGACCCAGAAAAAUCUACAUCCUAUGUCAUCUAGAAGUUGGCACCUAAAAGUUUGGCACUGACUUGGCAGAUGGCAGGAGAGAAUCAGAAUCAGGAAAACUGGUGACACUUAUUAUGCCAUCACAAAACAUUUGGUCGAAUUGUGACCUACAAUAGAUUGGGAGGUAUGAAACAUGCCUGUGGUUCUGCAGGAAAUGGUUGAGAAAACAAUCAGAAUAUUGGCAUAUUGGGGGUACUCUUUGCCCCUUUUAGAAUAAUCUAAGGGAAACCUAGUCGGUCUGCAAUGAUGGAUGGGAGAACAGCUCUGCUGAAGAAGUUACUUUCUCCGCUUGCAGCCUGCAAUCUAAGAUGCCUGAGAAUCCAAGAGUGUGGGGCUUUUGUGGGUGAAAAAGCUAAGCCACUGAUUCUAGUCACAGAACUGAAGCAUUUAUAAAUUAGGAGAUAGACUUGUAGCUGGAAAAGUCUGUGGCAUGGCCCUAACCCUUCUCAAGUACCUCCCUUUAAGAUCUCCAAGACAAGAGAGUGCUCCCAGUGGCCCAGAUGGAUUAAGGUCGCUGAUUUCCCUGACAAGCCAGCUGUUUCACCUGGCCUCAAGAUGAUUGCCAUUAAAUUGGGUGUGGGAUGAGGAAUGAAUUGAGCACAAAGGUCAGUAAGCCAAUGGCCAGAGUCUUCAGGCUUAAAAAUCUAUGUCUAGACAAAAUAGUUGGCCGUUGGUACUUGCACCUGAAACCAACCAGAAGCAAAUAGACAGAAGGCCAAAGACAACACAAGCCUGGCCUGAAAAAUCCUGUGACUAGUCAACCUUAAAGUCUGUGACUAUUCAACCUCUAAAGCAGAGGUCAAUACACCUUUUAUGUAAAGAGCCAGCUGGUAAACAUUUUAGGCUUUGUGGUCUCUGUGGCCUUGAACCCACUUCCUGUGUUUGCAGAAUCUGCCACCGUCUGAAUUGUGGUGAGAGGAAAGGCUCCUCCUCCCACGGAGACCAGAUACUUGCUCUCCCCUCACUCUGGCAGCCAGACAUGAGCAGGUGACCUCAAUGUGGCCCAAUUCUUGGGCAAGUGACACAAAGAAGCAAGGCCAUUAGAAUUCCCUCAGGCAGCUCAGUGGUGUUGCCCAUGUCCAGUGGCAGCGGUACCAGCCACCUGAGAGAACAGUGGCUCCUAACCAGAUCGCCCCUGUGGUGUGACCCUGGUGGGGGUUCUGGCUUCUGCUUCCCCACCCUCCUGCUCAUUUUCUAAGCUAGUCUUUUCAGCUUUCUGGUCAUUUCUUGAGAAACUCAAUAUCUCUCCAAUAAAUUCCUUUUCCUGCGUAAGUGAAGCAGUCUUUUUGUUGUUGUUAUUUGAAGCUGAGAAGCAUGACCGUUAUAGUUAAAGGAACCAAUUUUGUAGUCAUCAGCAUAAAAGCAGUAGUGAAAUAUACAAGAUGGUUUGAAAUUGCCCAGGGAGAGCGUGGAGAAAGAGAAGUGAGCUGGAGACGGAGCCCAUGGGAACAGAAACUCUUAAGGGAGGGAAAGAAAGAGAUCUAUGAAAGAGAAAUGAUAGAGAACGGAACAAGUGGAAAAUUAAGAGAGUGUGUGCAAAGAUAUGGAGUUCCAAGUUCAGUGUUUGGAGCUGAAGUUGUUCUAUGUGUAAAUAAGGCACAAAGGGAGUCAGUGACAUUCACAGAGGCCACCAGGGGCUGUAAGCCAGUAAGGGUCAUUGACAUGGACGUGGAGGUCACAGAAGAUGGAAACAUGGAUAAAUUUUCACUGGGCAAGCAUUUUUCAGAGCAAAUUCCUUUA
rnacentral:lncRNA from 1 species